GGUUUCAUAGUGUAACAAGCACACUAGAUUGCAAAUCUUGAAGUGACAAAUUAAAGUCUGUAACCU
rnacentral:tRNA from 1 species